rnacentral:rRNA from 1 species
UACGGAGGGGGCUAGCGUUGUUCGGAAUUACUGGGCGUAAAGCGCGCGUAGGCGGCUUUGUAAGUUAGAGGUGAAAGCCCGGAGCUCAACUCCGGAACUGCCUUUAAGACUGCAUCGCUAGAACGAUGGAGAGGUAAGUGGAAUUCCGAGUGUAGAGGUGAAAUUCGUAGAUAUUCGGAAGAACACCAGUGGCGAAGGCGACUUACUGGACAUCUGUUGACGCUGAGGUGCGAAAGCUAGGGGAGCAAACGGG